UGAAUCCUUCGGGGUCGGGUGAAAAUCCCAGCCGGCGGUAAUGAGCGAAUAGUUCCGAGCCCGCGACGGGGAGUGAGUGUCAAACACCAUUCCUCCUGAUUUGGUGUAGAUUCCAAAGCCGACAGUUAAAGUCUGGAUGGGAGAAGGAUGUG
rnacentral:ncRNA from 2 species